rnacentral:rRNA from 1 species
UGUUGUCACUCCUGACCCCAUGCCGAACUCAGAAGUGAAACGCCGUAGCGCCGAUGGUAGUGUGGGGUCUCCCCAUGCGAGAGUAGGGAACUGCCAGGC